CAUGCUUUACACAUGCAAGUCGAACGGCAGCACGGGCUUCGGCCUGGUGGCGAGUGGCGAACGGGUGAGUAAUAUAUCGGAACGUACCCAAGAGUGGGGGAUAACGUAGCGAAAGUUACGCUAAUACCGCAUACGAUCUAAGGAUGAAAGUGGGGGAUCGCAAGACCUYRUGCUCCUGGAGCGGCCGAUAUCUGAUUAGCUAGUUGGUGAGGUAAAGGCUCACCAAGGCGACGAUCAGUAGCUGGUCUGAGAGGACGACCAGCCACACUGGAACUGAGACACGGUCCAGACUCCUACGGGAGGCAGCAGUGGGGAAUUUUGGACAAUGGGCGCAAGCCUGAUCCAGCAAUGCCGCGUGAGUGAAGAAGGCCUUCGGGUUGUAAAGCUCUUUUGUCAGGGAAGAAACGGUAGAGGCUAAUAUCCUUUGCUAAUGACGGUACCUGAAGAAUAAGCACCGGCUAACUACGUGCCAGCAGCCGCGGUAAUACGUAGGGUGCAAGCGUUAAUCGGAAUUACUGGGCGUAAAGCGUGCGCAGGCGGUUUUGUAAGUCUGUCGUGAAAGCCCCGGGCUCAACCUGGGAAUUGCGAUGGAGACUGCAAGGCUUGAAUCUGGCAGAGGGGGGUAGAAUUCCACGUGUAGCAGUGAAAUGCGUAGAGAUGUGGAGGAACACCGAUGGCGAAGGCAGCCCCCUGGGUCAAGAUUGACGCUCAUGCACGAAAGCGUGGGGAGCAAACAGGAUUAGAUACCCUGGUAGUCCACGCCCUAAACGAUGUCUACUAGUUGUCGGGUUUUAAUUAACUUGGUAACGCAGCUAACGCGUGAAGUAGACCGCCUGGGGAGUACGGUCGCAAGAUUAAAACUCAAAGGAAUUGACGGGGACCCGCACAAGCG
rnacentral:rRNA from 1 species